GUUUUUGUAGCUUAAAUUAUGAAAGCGUAACACUGAAGAUGUUAGGAUAGGCCCUACUAAGCCUCAUAGACA
rnacentral:tRNA from 1 species